rnacentral:rRNA from 1 species
CAAUAGCGUAUAUUAAAGUUGUUGCAGUUAAAAAGCUCGUAGUUGAAUUUUUGCUUGCCGCCGAUGUCGGAACUUCCGUACGUUCGGCGGCGUGCAUCCUUGGGUGGAACCUGUGUGGCAUUAGGUUGUCGUGCAGGGGAUGCUCAUCGUUUACUGUGAAAAAAUUAGAGUGUUCAAAGCAGGCUUACGCCGUUGAAUAUAUUAGCAUGGAAUAAUAAGAUAGGACCUUGGUACUAUUUUGUUGGUUUGCGCACCGAGGUAAUGAUUAACAGGGACAGUUGGGGGUAUUCGUAUUUAAUUGUCAGAGGUGAAAUUCUUGGAUUUAUGAAAGACGAACGACUGCGAAAGCAUUUACCAAGGAUGUUUUCAUUAA